CCUACGGGACGCAGCAGUGAGGAAUAUUGGUCAAUGGACGAGAGUCUGAACCAGCCAAGUAGCGUGAAGGAUGACUGCCCUAUGGGUUGUAAACUUCUUUUAUAUGGGAAUAAAAUGUUCCACGUGUGGGAUUUUGUAUGUACCAUAUGAAUAAGGAUCGGCUAACUCCGUGCCAGCAGCCGCGGUACUACGGAGGAUCCGAGCGUUAUCCGGAUUUAUUGGGUUUAAAGGGAGCGUAGGUGGAUUGUUAAGUCAGUUGUGAAAGUUUGCGGCUCAACCGUAAAAUUGCAGUUGAAACUGGCAGUCUUGAGUACAGUAGAGGUGGGCGGAAUUCGUGGUGUAGCGGUGAAAUGCUUAGAUAUCACGAAGAACUCCGAUUGCGAAGGCAGUUCACUGGACUGCAACUGACACUGAGGCUCGAAAGUGUGGGUAUCAAACAGGAUUAGAUACCCCGGUAGUC
rnacentral:rRNA from 1 species